CCCGACUCCUACGGGAGGCAGCAGUGGGGAAUAUUGCACACUGGGCGAAAGCCUGCUGCAGCAACGCCGCUUGAAGGAAUACGGGUUUCGGCUCGUCCCCUUCUAUCCACCUUUACGAAAGACCUGCCGGUACCUUCCUUCUAAGCCCCCUCUCCCUACGUGCCCGCCUCCGCGGGACUCCUUCGGGGGCACGCUGUCUCCGGAAGGACUUGGUGUAAAGGGUGAGUAGGCGGCAUGGGAAGCCAGAUGUGAAAGCCUUGGGCGGAACCCGAGGAUUGCAUUUGGAACUAUCAAGCUAGAGUACAGGAGAGGAAAGCGGAAUUCCUAGUGUAGCGGUGAAAUGCGUAGAUAGGAGGAAGAACACCAGUGGCGAAGGCGGCGUUCCGGACUGAAACUGACGCUGAGGCACGAAAGCGUGGGGAGCGAACAGGAUUAGAUACCCGAGUAUGC
rnacentral:rRNA from 1 species